GAUUGUAUCACACAAAUUUGUUGCUUGCCUUCUAUCAAGAAAUAUUCAUGAGUACUUCAUCAAGGUUGAAAUGGCUGCCGUCUGUGAUAUUUGUGGUACUGGUAGAAUGCCAUGCGCCUUAGAUCAUGAGAAAAUAACAAAAUUUCGGGUGAUAGGUCCAGACUCUCUUCGUUACAGGAUUGUGAAUCAAUAUCGUAAUGUCAUAUGUUACACAUAGACAUAUAGUUGGCAGGCUUGGUCUAUGAUGACCCACAAGUAUAGGGGAUCAAUCUAGUCCUUUCGAUAAGUAAGAGUGUCUGAUGGCUCGUGUCCACUUUGGUAUUUCCCCAAAAAGAAAGGGAUGAUGUAGCACAACUAUGGUAGGUAUUUCCCUGAGUGAUGAGACCAAGGUUAUCGAACCAAUAGGAGAACCACGCAACACUAUGUAAACGGUACUUGCACACAAAGAACAAAUACUUGCAACCCGACGCGUUGUCAAUCCCUCCAGGGUAAAUGAUAGAUAAAAUUAUAGUAGAUUGGAUAAAUAGAUCUCGUGGGAACACGAGAUAAAAUAAAUAAGAAAAAAAUGCAGCCAGGUAUUUUUGGGUUUUUGGAUUAAUAGAUCUGAA